rnacentral:rRNA from 1 species
CAAGUCGUGCGAGAAAGGGCUUCGGCCCCAGUAAAGCGGCGCACGGGUGAGUAACACGUAGGUAAUCUUCCCCUGAGUGGUGGAUAACCCUCCGAAAGGAGGGCUAAUACAGCAUGAGACCACGAUUUCGUUGAGAUUGCGGUCAAAGCAGGCCUCUUCAUGAAAGCUUGCGCUCUAGGAUGAGCCUGCGGCCCAUCAGCUAGUUGGUAAGGUAACGGCUUACCAAGGCUAAGACGGGUAGCUGGUCUGAGAGGAUGAGCAGCCACACUGGAACUGAAACACGGUCCAGACUCCUACGGGAGGCAGCAGUAGGGAAUCUUGCGCAAUGGACGAAAGUCUGACGCAGCGACGCCGCGUGAGCGAUGAAGGCCUUCGGGUUGUAAAGCUCUGUGGGGAGAGACGAAUAAGGCAUGGCUAACAUCCAUGUCGAUGACGGUAUCUCCUUAGCAAGCACCGGCUAACUCUGUGCCAGCAGCCGCGGUAAGACAGAGGGUGCGAACGUUGUUCGGAAUUACUGGGCGUAAAGCGCGUGUAGGCGGCAAUGCAAGUCGGGCGUGAAAUCCCACGGCUCAACCGUGGAAGUGCACUCGAAACUGCAUAGCUAGAGUCCUGGAGAGGAAGGUGGAAUGCUUGGUGUAGAGGUGAAAUUCGUAGAUAUCAAGCGGAACACCGGUGGCGAAGGCGGCCUUCUGGACAGUGACUGACGCUGAGACGCGAAAGCGUGGGGAGCAAACAGGAUUAGAUACCCUGGUAGUCCACGCCGUAAACGAUGAGUGCUAGGUGUCACGGGCUUUGACCCUCGUGGUGCCGAAGCUAACGCGUUAAGCACUCCGCCUGGGGAGUACGGCCGCAAGGCUAAAACUCAAAGGAAUUGACGGGGGCCCCGCACAAGCGGUGGA